rnacentral:rRNA from 1 species
ACGACGCUGGCGGCGUGCCUAACACAUGCAAGUCAACUUGACUGAAGGAGCAAUCUGACAGUAGAGUGGCGCAAGGGUGCGUAACGCGUAAGUAACUUGCCCCAAGGUAAGGAAUAACGUCGAGAAAUCGGCGCUAAUACCUCAUAAUGCAGCGGAUCCGCAUGGAUAUGUUGUUAAAGGUUUACCGCCUUGGGAUAGGCUUGCGUCUGAUUAGCUAGUUGGUGUGGUAACGGCACACCAAGGCUACGAUCAGUAACUGGUCUGAGAGGAUGAUCAGUCACACUGGAACUGAGACACGGUCCAGACUCCUACGGGAGGCAGCAGUGAGGAAUAUUGGGCAAUGCUCGAAAGAGUGACCCAGCAACGCCGCGUGGAGGAUGAAGGUAUUCUAUAUCGUAAACUCCUGUGAGAGCAGACGAAAGACAGAUUAUUAAUCUGGAUGACUGUAUGCUCAGAGGAAGCCCCGGCUAACUACGUG